UACAGAGGGGGCAAGCGUUGUUCGGAAUUACUGGGCGUAAAGGGCGCGUAGGCGGCCUUCUAAGUCGAACGUGAAAUCCCCGGGCUCAACCCGGGAACUGCGUCCGAUACUGGAAGGCUUGAAUCCGGGAGAGGGAUGUGGAAUUCCAGGUGUAGCGGUGAAAUGCGUAGAUAUCUGGAGGAACACCGGUGGCGAAGGCGACGACCUGGUCUGAUACUGACGCUGAGGCGCGACAGCGUGGGGAGCAAACAGG
rnacentral:rRNA from 1 species